GGGGCCGCGCCUGCCGGCGUUGCCGGGUAACGGCCGCUCCGGGCAAUGGCGGCGGGACCGCCCCGCGGUUGCUGCCUGGCCAUUUAAAGUCGUAGGAAUAGCCGGCAAAGCUGCUUAGGACUGUGUUGAAAAUGCUGGGAGAGAAAAAGCAGUUAAUGGUGGCAAGAGACCUUUACACAGACCCCACGUUCCCGGCCAGUGAUACCUCCAUAUUCUUUAAUUAUUGUACCCCGCUGGCCCAAUUCAGAGGCGAGAUAUCUUGGUUGAGACCUAAGGACAUUUGUUCCUCUCCUCGGUUAUUUUCAAACAAUCUGCAGGAUGUGCAAGUAAAACAAGGAAUUUUGGGAGACUGUUGGUUCCUGUGUGCCUGUGUAGCUUUGCAUAAGAGCAAAUACUUACUGAACAAGGUGAUCCCUCCAGGCCAGCCCAGCUGGACAGAUGAGUCCUACCAAGGCUGCUUCACUUGCCGGGUGUGGCAGUUUGGCCACUGGGUGGAAGUGACCAUUGAUGAUCGCCUGCCUUGCCUUGGGGGCAAACUCUGCUUUUCCCAGUGUCAGACAGAGGAUUUGUUUUGGCUUCCACUCCUGGAAAAAGCUUAUGCAAAAGUGCAUGGAUCUUAUGAGCAGUUGUGGGCAGGACAGGUGGCAGAUGCUUUGGUUGAUCUGACUGGAGGAAUUGCUGAAAGAUGGACCCUGAAAGACCCUGGAAAAAAUGUGGAGAAAGAGAAGACUGGCAUGGUUUUGGAGAAAGCAGUGUUUAGAAGAUUAAUGAAUCUGAAGGAACAGUGUGUAAUAAGCUGUUCAGUCCUCAACUCCAAACAAGGUGCAAGUGAACUAGGAGAAUUUCAUGCCUUUAUUGUGAUAGACACAUUGAAUCUCUCUGAAGUGUCAGGCAAGGAAAUCUUCCUGCUACGAAUACGAAAUCCUUGGGGGAGGCGGUGCUGGAAAGGGCCUUGGUGUGAGGGUGGUCAAGGAUGGAACCAGCUAGAUCCAAUAGUUGCUUCAGAACUCCUCUCACAGAUCCAAGAAGGAGAAUUCUGGGUUGAUGAAGAAGAAUUUUUCAGGGAAUUUGAUGAGAUUACUGUGGGCUUUCCAGUCAAUGAGGAAGGACAACUUCAGAGCCUCUAUACAGAGAAAGUGCUGUAUCACUCUCAGAAUCUCUUUGGAUCCUGGGUGAGAGGCCAGUCUGCAGGUGGCUGCCGCAACAACAGCAGCUUCCCAACCAACCCCAAGUUCUGGCUGAGGGUGUGUGAGUCCAGUGAGGUGUGCAUUGCUCUGCUGCAGAAACACAGGAAAUACAGCACUGACUGGGCUGGAAGGAUUCAAAAGCCAACUCGCUUGGCAGAGGAAAAUCCAUCUUUGACUGAAGGCAUACAGGGAAAGAAUUACCAGGCUGUGGGAUUGCAUGUCUGGAAGGUGGAGAAGAAACGAUUUAACCUUCCAAAGACCCUCUCUGCUCCUCCAGUUGUAGGUACUGUCUGCCAUUCCUACGACAGAGAAGUCCAUGUGUGCUGUGACCUUUCACCUGGCUUUUAUCUUGUUGUUCCCAGCACUUUUCUGAAAGAUGCAGUGGGGAAUUUCUUGCUUCGUGUAUUUUCAACGGGAAGGAUCUCUCUCAGUGAACUAAAGCCACCACCCAUGGAUGCUGCCCUCUGUGAAGAACUCCCAGCUGGUGAAUGGGAGACAGUGCAGCUGCAUGGAUGCUGGAAGAGUGGGCUGAAUGCUGGAGGUAGCAGGAAUUUCCCCUCCUUCCAUACCAAUCCCUGCUUUCCCCUGUCCGUUCCUGCAGGAGCAGGGAAAAGCAGUGUGAAAGUCACCCUCCGUCAGCACUGCCUGGAUAGCAAGUGUUGUCCAAUAGGUUUCCAUAUUUUCCAGGUGCCUAACAGCAGCUGGAAACCACAAACUACUUCUUUUGUACAUUUGGAGCCACUGGUGAGCUGUGUUCCUCACUGCUAUUCCCAAGAAGUCAGCCGACUCUGCAGGCUUCCUGCAGGAAGUUAUGUCAUUAUACCUUCUACGUACUUGCCCAAUACAGAAGGCAAUUUUACAGUGGUCAUAGCAACCAAAAUAGACAGGAAGCGCAUUCACAGCCAGGAGACACUUGGACAGGUGUUACAAGAGGUUUCCUUUACAACUGUGAUGAAAAGGAAGGAUAUACCUCAAGAACUGUCAAAAUACACUGGAGUAGAAAAAGUCCAAGCUUGUAUCUGACACUGCCAGUCUUGCUGCUGAGCACUUUACCUUGGGCCCUCUAUGGAACCAAGCAGAUGGUGGGUUCAAAGGAAAGAUUUUUUUGGUGAAUCUAAGAAAAGACCUGUGAACUCAGAAGACUAACAGCUUACUGAAGAAAAUUUUAUUAAAGCUUCCUUACUGAACAGUUGUCCCAUUUUAAGAGUGUGAUACCUGACAGAGCACACAUGCAGGAAACUACUUGACACAGGCCACUUCUCUAGCAUCCUACAGCUAAUUCACUGCUACUGGAGCUGGAAUGUAAAUGCCCGAAGGAGAUUGGUAAAGAAGAUGAACAGUUCAACUCGUGCCAUCCGUUCCCCCAAACAUACACGAUGCCCUGCAGAGGAAAAUCAAGAGAGUCAGUUGAGUAAAGUUAAAUUCUGUAAAAGAACUUUGCACAAAAUUCUACUGAGUUCCAUAAAUUCUGUUAAUGUAAGAUAAUUAUUUCAUUCUGUAAAGACAGAAGAUGCUUUAGGAUGAGGGUGGGGAAGCAUUUAACUGAGAAACUCUGCACCUCUGUCAAGUGUUUGAUUUGGUGUUUUGAUUGGGUUGUUUAGACUUUUUUCACCCCUGGAGCAUGCAAUUCUCCCUUUCCAUUGUUGAUUCUUUUUGUGAGAGCCAUGAAUUGCUUCUUAGCUAAGCCAGAUUUUAAAAAGAUUCAUAUACUUCAGAGUCUUAUUUUGAUUGUUGAGAAGGGAGGGCUGGAGCAUUGUGGUAUGCAGUUCUGAAGCCAAGGAGAAGGAUAUAAUCAGGAUUUCUUUAACAGAAAUUCAGAAAGGUGUGUUGGGGCCUUGUAGCCCUAACACUGGAUGGAUAUGCCAAGGAAAGAGCAUUGUGUCUCCCAGCCACACUUAUCCUCUGUUUGAAUAUAUGAAAAAUACAAAAUGCAUAAUAUUUGUGGCUCUUACAGCAAAAGCCCUGACUUUGUCUUUCAAAUCGGUCAAAUAGUCAAUCUAGUCAAAUGCCUUUUUAUACAUGUACAUUUUAGAACUUAGAAAUAGUAUUUUUACUCUUACUGCAAAACAGAGCAAGCAGGAAUAUUCAAGGUCAGGGUGUUACCUGCUGAGAAAGGUAAGAA